GAGGGCGGCGUACGGCUCAGUAACAUGUGGUCAAUCUACCCUCAGGACGGAGAUAACCUCGGGAAACUGAGGCUAAUAUCCGAUAGAUAAUGGAUCCUGGAAUGGUUCAUUAUUCAAACGGCACAUUGCUCAUGCGCAGUGUGUCGCCUGAGGAUGAGACUGCACCCUAUCAGGUAGUUGGUGGGGUAACGGCCCACCAAGCCUAUAACGGGUACGGGCCCUGAGAGGGGGAGCCCGGAGAUGGGCACUGAGACAAGGGCCCAGGCCCUACGGGGCGCAGCAGGCGCGAAACCUCUGCAAUGCGCGAAAGCGCGACAGGGCCACCCCGAGUGCUAGCCGCUGAGGUUAGCUUUUCCUUAGUGCAGUAAGCUAAGGGAAUAAGCGGGGGGCAAGCCUGGUGUCAGCCGCCGCGGUAAUACCAGCUCCGCGAGUGGUCGGGACGAUUAUUGGGCCUAAAGCGUCCGUAGCCGGCCUAUCAAGUCUCUGGUUAAACCUCAAGGCUCAACCUUGAGAUUGCUGGAGAUACUGUUAGGCUAGGGGGCGGGAGAGGUUGAGGGUACUUCGCGGGUAGGGGCGAAAUCCUAUAAUCCGCGAAGGACCACCAGUGGCGAAGGCGCUCAACUGGAACGCGCCCGACGGUGAGGGACGAAAGCCAGGGGAGCAAAGGGGAUUAGAUACCCCCGUAGUCCUGGCUGUAAACGAUGCGGGCUAGGGGGGUUGGGUUGGCUUCGUGCCAACCCGGGUGCCGCAGUGAAGACGAUAAGCCCGCCGCCUGGGAAGU
rnacentral:rRNA from 1 species